rnacentral:rRNA from 1 species
GAUGAACGCUGGCGGCGUGCCUAAUACAUGCAAGUCGAGCGAACAGACGAGGAGCUUGCUCCUCUGACGUUAGCGGCGGACGGGUGAGUAACACGUGGAUAACCUACCUAUAAGACUGGGAUAACUUCGGGAAACCGGAGCUAAUACCGGAUAAUAUAUUGAACCGCAUGGUUCAAUAGUGAAAGACGGUUUUGCUGUCACUUAUAGAUGGAUCCGCGCCGCAGUAGCUAGUUGGUAAGGUAACGGCUUACCAAGGCGACGAUGCGUAGCCGACCUGAGAGGGUGAUCGGCCACACUGGAACUGAGACACGGUCCAGACUCCUACGGGAGGCAGCAGUAGGGAAUCUUCCGCAAUGGGCGAAAGCCUGACGGAGGAACGCCGCGUGAGUGAUGAAGGUCUUCGGAUCGUAAAACUCUGUUAUUAGGGAAGAACAAAUGUGUAAGUAACUAUGCACGUCUUGACGGUACCUAAUCAGAAAGCCACGGCUAACUACGUG